GUCAUUAACUUUCAUUCUAUUCCAAUAUAUAGUGGGCUGAAUAGAUGGUAAAUGUCAGUGCAACACUGCAACAAUUAAAACGUCUACACCAGCGGAGAGGAAAUUCAUAAUUUCAUCUUUUUCUUUGAGAUUCGUUGAUAUGAUGGGGAAAAUAUGGAUCAUAUCAUUUUUCCUGAUUCUACCAGUUGCAGUCAGUACUACAAAUGGAUAUGAAACUACAACUGAUGCUCUGAGAAUAACAACUGAUGCUCCAACAACAACAACUACUGCCCCCACAACAACAACUGUUGCUCCUACAACAACAACUACGGCAGCAACUACAACA